GACGAACGCUGGCGGCGUGCUUAACACAUGCAAGUCGAACGGUAAGGCCCUUCGGGGUACACGAGUGGCGAACGGGUGAGUAACACGUGGGUGAUCUGCCCUGCACUUCGGGAUAAGCCUGGGAAACUGGGUCUAAUACCGGAUAGGACUACUGCCUGCAUGGGUGGUGGUGGAAAGCUUUUGCGGUGUGGGAUGGGCCCGCGGCCUAUCAGCUUGGUGGUGGGGUGAUGGCCUAGCCAGGCGACGACGGGUAGCCGGCCUGAGAGGGUGACCGGCCACACUGGGACUGAGAUACGGCCCAGACUCCUACGGGAGGCAGCAGUGGGGAAUAUUGCACAAUGGGCGCAAGCCUGAUGCAGCGACGCCGCGUGAGGGAUGACGGCCUUCGGGUUGUAAACCUCUUUCAGCACCGACGAAGCGCAAGUGACGGUAGGUGCAGAAGAAGGACCGGCCAACUACGUGCCAGCAGCCGCCGUAA
rnacentral:rRNA from 1 species